UACGAAGGGGGCUAGCGUUGUUCGGAUUUACUGGGCGUAAAGCGCACGUAGGCGGCUUUGUAAGUUAGAGGUGAAAGCCCGGGGCUCAACUCCGGAACUGCCUUUAAGACUGCAUCGCUUGAAUCCGGGAGAGGUGAGUGGAAUUCCGAGUGAUAGAGGUAGAAAUUCGUAGAUAUCGGAAGAACACCAGUGGCGAAGGCGG
rnacentral:rRNA from 1 species